rnacentral:ncRNA from 1 species
CCGUCACAACGGCUUCCUGGCGUGACGGCGUAAAUGUUAAUGGAGCA